CGACCCUGACGGGACUUGAACCCGCGACCUCCGCCGUGACAGGGCGGCACGCUAACCAACUGCGCUACAGGGCC
rnacentral:tRNA from 1 species